UACGUAGGGGGCGAGCGUUGUCCGGAGUUACUGGGCGUAAAGCGCACGCAGGCGGUCUGCUAAGUUUGGAGUGACAGUUGGUGGCUUAACUGCCAAAGUGCUUCGAAAACUGACAGACUUGAGGGCUUCAGAGGGACACGGAAUUCCGGGUGGAGUGGUGAAAUGCGUAGAGAUCCGGAGGAACACCAGUGGCGAAGGCGGCCUGCUGGGCAGUUGCUGACACUGAGGCGCGACAGCGUGGGGAGCAAACAGG
rnacentral:rRNA from 1 species